rnacentral:lncRNA from 1 species
CAUCCCCAAAUCCAGCGGCUAAGUUCCUGUUGACGAGGCGGCCCAGCUCCCCAGGCGUGGCUGUGUUCCGGAUAUCCACAUCGUGGGGCGACACAUAAAGCUUUGUGUCAUUCAAGUCAAAGAACUCGACUUCUGUGAGACCCACCCACCACGAGUUGCCCCAGUUGGACAGGAUCUCCAUGGUCACGUAGAUGGCAUCUUUGAUCUCGUCUGCCCUCAUUCUCUGUUUGUCCUUAAAGAAGAGAAAAAUAACACCAAAGGAUUAAGUCAUGACAGGCUUGAAUUCGGCUCUGCCUCUGCCACCACUGCCUUCAAAAAGUUAGUUAACCUUCAGGGUCUCAGUCUCUCCAUCUGUACAAUGAGGAUAAGAAUAGCACCCACUACCUAUGGUUAUUACAAUGAUUAAAUGAAUUCAUACUGUAAAGCAUUCAAAAUAGAGGCCCUGUGUAACUGGCACUCUGUGAGCAUUCUGUUUGAAAGUUUACAAAUAAAUAAAAAUGUCUAAA